AUGGCACCCACGGCGGCCGAAUCACGCCUGACCCUGGUGGCAAUCUUCCUUCCGACCUUGGCGUCGACCCUUCUGCUGAAGCCAGUGGCGGCGAACCAGGACGUGGACGCGCUCUCGGCCCUGAGGAGAGGCCUACAGGAGUACCCCAAUGGCGAGUUGAAGAACUGGGACGCGAACCUGGUGGACGCCUGCACCUGGUCCCACAUCACCUGCGACCGCGAUAACAAUCGCGUCACCCGCAUAGAUCUUAACAAAAUGAACCUGUCCGGACCUCUGGCGCCGGAGCUUGGGAAACUGGACCGGCUACAAUAUUUGGAAAUCGAUCACAACCGUUUGACAGGGCCAAUCCCAAGGGAGCUGGCUGGGCUGUCCAACCUGAAACAUGCGGAUUUCUCGAACAACAACCUCUGCGGCCCGAUUCCGACGACUGGAGCGUUUCAACGCAUACCUCGGAGUAGGAAGUGCUAG
rnacentral:rRNA from 1 species